rnacentral:antisense_RNA from 1 species
AAUAUGAGUGCAAGCAGUUUAUUUGGGCCACUCCAGAGGUGUUAAAGCUCCCUCACUUCCAGCCUGCCUCGUGGGAAGGUCUUAGGCUAAGUCUGUAGGUGCCUGCAGUUAAGAAGCCAGCGGUCUGCAUAUGAUUGCUCAGAGGUGGUGGCUGGGUACCAACAGCAUUCACUACAGGCCUGCCUUGAAUACCACCUAACUCAGUGCUCCGCAUAUCACAGGGGCUGGAAACCUAACAAUUUCACUUCCUAGACAACUUGCUAAAAGUCACCUAAAGACAGUCUGGUUACUGCCAAAGAUAUGCUUUCAAAUAAGAUUUGGAUAAAGAAGGGAGGUAGAUGCCUUUUUUCAGCAGUGGAGUGAUGUCUAGACCAGUAGACAUAUGCAUCUAAGUGAACUCAUCACCAGCAACAAUUUCCUGAAACUUCCUGACCUCCAGAUUGCAGCUUCA